rnacentral:rRNA from 1 species
GACGAACGCUGGCGGCGUGCCUAAUACAUGCAAGUUGAGCGAUGAAGAUUGGUGCUUGCACCAAUUUGAAGAGCAGCGAACGGGUGAGUAACGCGUGGGGAAUCUGCCUUUGAGCGGGGGACAACAUUUGGAAACGAAUGCUAAUACCGCAUAACAACUUUAAACAUAAGUUUUAAGUUUGAAAGAUGCAAUUGCAUCACUCAAAGAUGAUCCCGCGUUGUAUUAGCUAGUUGGUGAGGUAAAGGCUCACCAAGGCGAUGAUACAUAGCCGACUUGAGAGGGUGAUCGGCCACAUUGGGACUGAGACACGGCCCAAACUCCUACGGGAGGCAGCAGUAGGGAAUCUUCGGCAAUGGACGAAAGUCUGACCGAGCAACGCCGCGUGAGUGAAGAAGGUUUUCGGAUCGUAAAACUCUGUUGGUAGAGAAGAACGUUGGUGAGAGUGGAAAGCUCAUCAAGUGACGGUAACUACCCAGAAAGGGACGGCUAACUACGUG